rnacentral:rRNA from 1 species
UACGUAGGGGGCAAGCGUUGUCCGGAAUCAUUGGGCGUAAAGAGCUCGUAGGCGGUUUGUCGCGUCUGCUGUGAAAACCCGAGGCUCAACCUCGGGCCUGCAGUGGGUGCGGGCAGACUAGAGUGCGGUAGGGGAGAUUGGAAUUCCUGGUGUAGCGGUGGAAUGCGCAGAUAUCAGGAGGAACACCAAUGGCGAAGGCAGAUCUCUGGGCCGUAACUGACGCUGAGGAGCGAAAGCAUGGGGAGCGAACAGG